rnacentral:misc_RNA from 1 species
UCGAACCUCACAACGAGCAGACCGCGCACACGUAUACGCCGCACGGGGCUCCCGACGGGCAGGUGCUCGCGCGCCUCCCGUCGCCGCCCCGCACAUGCCCGACCCUCGCGCGACCGAUCGUGCUAGGCGGGGACAAUAACAAAACCACGGCGCGGCAAAGGCGCCAAGGAUCACAAACGUGGAGCGCCGCCGCCUUCGUGCGCCCGUCUCGAGGUGCGCCGUUGGUGGGACGCGCGUCUCUCCUGAGAUUGAGCAAGGAAAAAAC